GAANAACUAACAAGGAUUCCCCUAGUAACGGCGAGUGAAGCGGGAAGAGCUCAAACUUAAAAUCUCCGUUGCUCGCAACGGCGAAUUGUAGUCUCGAGAAGCGUUUUCAAGGCGGAUGCACUGUGCUUAAGUUGCUUGGAACGGCACAUCGUAGAGGGUGACAAUCCCGUAGGUGGCACAGUGUACUGUUGACGAUGCGCUUUCCAUGAGUCGGGUUGAUUGGGAAUUCAGCCCAAAAUGGGAGGUAAACUCCUUCUAAAGCUAAAUAUUGGCACGAGACCGAUAGCGAACAAGUACCGUGAGGGAAAGAUGAAAAGCACUUUGAAAAGAAAGUUAAUAGUACGUGAAACCGUUAGUAGGGAAGCGCAUGGAAUUAGCAAUGCACUGUCGAGAUUCAGGCAGUUGCGUGCUGGCACGGAUGUUGUACAGAUCUGAAUGGACUGUCUGCGCUCGUCGUCGGCUCGCUUCUGUCGCAUUUCCCGGCUGUGUGCGUCAACAGCUGUUCGGACCGGGCGACGAGCCCCAAGUGAAGGUGACUUGCUUCGGCAGGUGUUAUAGCUCUUGGUGUGCGAGCUCGGACUGGACAGAGGAGGAGUCGCGCGGCACAUGCUCUUUUGGGCUGGCCUCUCUUGUCACUGUUGGUCGUCGAGCAUGGCGGACUGCGUGCAGUGCGUCAGAACUGCUGCCGGCUGUUGGUGGGAUGAGUGCACACACUGUGCCAAGGUUGUUGGCGGUCAUAUGAUUUUAUGCGACCCGUCUUGAAACACGGACCAAGGAGUCUAACAUGUGUGCGAGUCUUUGGGUGAUUGAAACCCGCAGGCACAAUGAAAGUAAAGGUUGCUUGCAGCCGAAGUGGGAUCCGUCCUCCUCGGGGGCGGCGCAUCAUUGACCGACCUAUUCUACUCCUAGAAAGGUUUGAGUAAGAGCACAUCUGUUGGGACCCGAAAGAUGGUGAACUAUGCUUGAGUAGGGUGAAGCCAGAGGAAACUCUGGUGGAGGCUCGUAGCGAUUCUGACGUGCAAAUCGAUCGUCAAACUUGAGUAUAGGGGCGAAAGACUAAUCGAACCAUCUAGUAGCUGGUUCCCUCCGAAGUUUCCCUUAGGAUAGCUGGAACUCGGAACAGUUUUAUCAGGUAAAGCGAAUGAUUAGAGGUCUUAGGGUUGAAACAACCUUAACCUAUUCUCAAACUUUAAAUUGGUAAGAAGCCCGACUUGCUUAAUUGAAGUAGGGCACAGAAUGAGAG
rnacentral:rRNA from 1 species